UACGUAGGGGGGCAAGCGUUUGUCCGGAAUUACUGGGCGUAAAGAGCUCGUAGGUGGUUUGUCGCGUUGUCCGUGAAAACUCACAGCUCAACUGUGGGCGUGCGGGCGAUACGGGCAGACUGGAGUACUGCAGGGGAGACUGGAAUCCUGGUGUAGCGGUGAAAUGCGCAGAUAUCAGGAGGAACACCGGUGGCGAAGGCGGGUCUCUGGACAGUUCCUGACGCUGAGGCACGAAGGUCAGGGGAGCAAACGGG
rnacentral:rRNA from 1 species